GCGGCUUUAGCUCACUUGGGAGAGCGCCAGACUGAAGCCCAACUUCAGGAAUCCUCGAAAUUCAAGAAUAUCGAUAUCUGGAGGCACUGUGUUCGAUCCACAGAAGCCGCA